UACGGGGGGGGUAAGCGUUGUUCGGAAUUACUGGGCGUAAAGGGCUCGUAGGCGGCCAACUAAGUCGGACGUGAAAUCCCUCAGCUUAACUGGGGAACUGCGUCCGAUACUGGAUGGCUUGGAUUUGGGAGAGGGAUGCGGAAUUCCAGGUGUAGCGGUGAAAUGCGUAGAUAUCUGGAGGAAUACCGGUGGCGAAGGCGGCAUCCUGGACCGAGAUUGACGCUGAUGAGCGAAAGCUAGGGGAGCAAACGGG
rnacentral:rRNA from 1 species